rnacentral:lncRNA from 1 species
UUUGUUUUCAUAGUGUACGGGCCUCAUAGAAACUUCCGAGGGCAAAAGCCUCUUCCGGAGCCGUUAUGGCGGCAAGCCAUGGCUCGAAAAACCCUAAUUCCUUCACAAACAUUGCAUUGCAAAACAGAUAAAUUGAGACUGCAAAAUAGCAAAGAUUAUAUGGUUAAAGACAGCACAAAGCUAAAGCAAAAGUUUAAAGUUUUGCAGAAGAGAAGUAAAUCGAAGCUACUGAUUCUCUAAUUCCAGGUAUUCCCUCGCAUGUUUUCUCUUUGAUACAGUUUCUUUCAACAAUGGUGAAGUUCUAACCCAUUCAAAAUCAUGGGUUUGACAAAGCCCUUCUUUCUCUACAAAACCCACUACAUACUUUCCGUCCUCGUCCCCCUUCCUCUUACUUCCUCCCUUCAACAUUUCUGCACAAAAAGCCCUUCUCUCUCUAACCUAUCUUCUCUCACUAGUGAUACCAAAGCCUUAAGCACUUCUUCAACCAUAAAUCAUCUCAUUGAAUGGAUUGGUCUCUCGAAAGAAGCAGCCAUUGCAGCUUCUUCCAUCUUUCCCACCAUGAAAACUCCUGGAAACCAUAUCGCUGUAAUAAAUUUGCUCAGAAACUCUGGUUUCCAUGACACCCAUAUCCAUAAAAUUGUUAUCAGAAACCCUCGUAUCCUUUCAAUGGAUGUCGAGAAUAUUAUCAAACCCAAGUUGAAGUUAUUCGAAGAUUUGGGUCUUUCUGGAUCUGAACUUGGGGCCGUCAUAGCUGCUAACCGAAGUCUUUUGUGUGCUAGUCAUGAUAAACGCCUUCAGCCGAGU